AUGAAUUUUGAAAGGGGUUGUAGCUGGUCUUUUCCAAGACAUGUGCACGCCCUGCUCAUCCAUUCUACCCCUGUGCACACUCUGUAGGUCGGUUUUGAAGUGAUUCCUCACGGAAUUGCUCGGGCCUUCCUAUGUUUUCAUACAAACACUUUAAAGUCAAAGAAUGUAAUCGCGUGUAACGCAUUUAAUA
rnacentral:misc_RNA from 1 species